rfam:Sphingobium ummariense RL-3 contig074, whole genome shotgun sequence.
GGGCCCUUAGCUCAGUCGGUAGAGCAACUGACUUUUAAUCAGUAGGUCGCUGGUUCGAAUCCAGCAGGGCUCA